GGGGGACUACCUCAAGUGGUAGAGCGCUCGAUUUGCAUUCGAGAGGUACUGGGAUCGAUACCCAGGUUCUCCA
rfam:Drosophila ficusphila unplaced genomic scaffold scf7180000450282, whole genome shotgun sequence